UUAUAUUAGCUUUGAUAGACAAGCCUGGCUGUUACAUUAAUAAUCAGGCACAUGCUUUGUUCUGCAGGUCUAGCAAUAAGGUGGUUAAAAGUACAGCUUGCUUAGAUAUUUUGAGUUUUUGGACAGUAUCGCCAACUUAGGGUGAGUCUGGACCCUGGCUCCUAAGAAUCCACAAGCAAAUUUCCUGUUGCUGUUGGUUUUUAUAAAUCCUCUUUCUCUCUCUUUCUCACCAGAGUUUACUCUCAGAAUAAAGCAAUCUUUUCCUUAUCCCUGUCAAGCUGUUAUUGGCUCUCAGCUAGACGGACCCAAUAUUUCAGUAACAGUUUCUGGCGACCCAGAUGGGACACUCCUAGCUCGGACAUUGGACUCCGGAUGACUGCGGCAAACUGGGAACGGCGCCAAUGGGGUGUUUAGCCCCUCUUUCUCUGCUUCACCGCGGCCCCUGGGGUUCGUGCUCCAAUAAAGGGCUGCCCUUUCUACUGUUACUGCCAAGCCAAGCUGUUAUCAGCUCUCAGCUAAACAAGCCCAAUAUUUCAGUAACAGUACCAACAAGGAAAUGUAACAGCACACUAAACUCAGGACCGGACCGGAAAGAGUAGAGCCCUCCGGCAGAUCCGAAGGGACUUCAGGGACUCUUGUCACCUCGCGGCCAGCCUCAGUCACCUCAAAAUCGAAAGCAAUCAACACCCACACCUGCAGCCUGCCGGCAUGAAUGUGUUGUAUGCGGUCUUCCUGCUGACAUAGUCCAUCAAUAUGAUAAACAGCACCAGACUUUGGGCCAACCCUUGGCCAACCCAAUCUAACUUUCACUUCAAAGAGACUUGUUCCAAAACAUGUUUGAAUCACUAUUUUACAAGAUCUAUGGAGAAUUCACCAUAAUUAUUAAAUCCUCAGACACUCCAUAUUUCCUCAGCAUUGGUGUGAGCAUCUUUCUGUCCAUUUUAUCAUAUGCCUUUUCUAGGUCUAUAAAAAGCCCAAACCUAGAUACUCUAGCUGCUUCUCUAUCUCAUGCUGAAUUACAAACACGGCAUCUGUGAUUCCCCAUCCUUUUCUAAACUGAAGUGUUCUUGUUCAAGAAGAAUAUUAAAUCCUGAAGAAGUGUUGGUGAGAUGGAAUUUCCUUCCACAGGUGUAGGGACAAUAAUGCAGAUGUGAGCCCAAUCUGGCCCUGAUCCAUUGUAAUGGUGUAGAUGGAUAUAAACAUUCAGUGCUUCACAUGAAAAAUUUCUUCAUAGAUGACUGAUGCACUU